AUUGAACGCUGGCGGCAGGCUUAACACAUGCAAGUCGAGCGGUAACAGAGAGAAGCUUGCUUCUCUGCUGACGAGCGGCGGACGGGUGAGUAAUGCCUAGGAAUCUGCCUAGUAGUGGGGGAUAACUUGCCGAAAGGUAAGCUAAUACCGCAUACGUCCUACGGGAGAAAGGAGGGGACCUUCGGGCCUUUCGCUAUUAGAUGAGCCUAGGUCGGAUUAGUUAGUUGGUGAGGUAAUGGCUCACCAAGACCGCGAUUCGUAACUGGUCUGAGAGGAUGAUCAGUCACACUGGAACUGAGACACGGUCCAGACUCCUACGGGAGGCAGAAGUGGGGAAUAUUGGACAAUGGGAGGAACCCUGAUCCAGCCAUGCCGCGUGUGUGAAGAAGGUCUUAGGAUUGUAAAGCACUUUAAGUUGGGAGGAAGAGCAGUUAACUAAUAUUUGACUGUUUUGACGUUACCGACAGAAUAAGCACCGGCUAACUUCGUGCCAGCCGCCGCCGUAA
rnacentral:rRNA from 1 species